GACGAACGCUGGCGGCGCGCUUAACACAUGCAAGUCGAACGGAAAGGCCUGCUUUCCCUUGUGGAUUGCGGGUACUCGAGUGGCGAACGGGUGAGUAACACGUGAGUGAUCUGCCCCCAACUUGGGUAUAAGCCUGGGAAACUGGGUCUAAUUCCCGAUAGGACUGCAGGGUGGUGCCUGUGGUGGAAAACGAUUUUCUAGUGGUUGGGGAUGAGUUCGCGGCCUAUCAGCUUGUUGGUGGGGUAAUGGCCUACCAAGGCGGCGACGGGUAGCCGGCCUGAGAGGGUGGACGGCCUCAUUGGGACUGAGAUACGGCCCAGACUCCUACGGGAGGCAGCAGUGGGGAAUAUUGCACAAUGGGCGGAAGCAUGAUGCAGCGACGCCGCGUGGGGGAUGACGGCCUUCGGGUUGUAAACUCCUUUCGACCGCGAGGAAGCCACCUGGUUGGAAGGGUGGUGACGGUAGUGGUAGAAGAAGCACCGGCUAACUGCGUG
rnacentral:rRNA from 1 species